AAAGUUGAAAAGUACUUUGAAGAGAGAGUAAACAGUGCGUGAAACCGAUCAGAGGUAAACGGAUGGAGUUGAACUGCAAGCUCUGGGAAUUCAACUGGUGAGUGUGGUUUGAGCUUGGUCAAGUCGGUUGGGCCCUGAAGUCUGCGUAGCAGCAGGCCUUCGCCUCUCGGGGUGGGGGUGCGCGAUGCACUUAUCAAGUGUUGUGCGCUUCGGGUGUUCAUCGGGCCGACUCGCCAGUGCACUUUCUCAGAGUGGUCAUCACGACCGGCACCGCUGUCUGGCUGUUGUGGUUAAACCUUUCUCGCAUUGUCCCUGUGGCUCUGCUUGAUCGGGAUGGCAGGUAGCUCGUUGACUUGCUUGUGGCUCUGUCGCAGGCGCUGGGUCAUUGAGUGUAAUCAGCUGACCACAUUGGUUCUGUGCAGUGUGUCGGAGACGGCGGCUUUUGUGUGUGCGUGCGUGCCUGUCUGGCCGAGGAGUUCGAGUUUGGUUGUUAUGUUGCUUGUUCACGCAGGCCUGACAAUGGCUCGGAUUUUUUCGGUUGGCGGUUGCGUACGUGGCACAGUUCAUGGGCCAAUAGUCUGUGAUGUAGUGGUAGACUAUCCAUCUGACCCGUCUUG
rnacentral:rRNA from 1 species